GCAAUGCCGCGUGUGUGAAGAAGGCCUUCGGGUUGUAAAGCACUUUCGGUGGGGACAAACAAGGCGGAGCUAACAUCUCCGUCCCUGAUGGUACCCAAAGAAGAAGCACCGGCUAACUCUGUGCCAGCAGCCGCGGUAAUACAGAGGGUGCAAGCGUUAAUCGGAAUUACUGGGCGUAAAGCGUGCGUAGGUGGUUUGUUGAGUCAGGUGUGAAAUCCUCGGGCUCAACCCGGGAACUGCGCUUGAUACUGACAGACUCGAGUGUGGUAGAGGAUAGUGGAAUCCCCGGUGUAGCGGUGAAAUGCGUAGAUAUCGGGAGGAACAUCAGUGGCGAAGGCGGCUAUCUGGACCAACACUGACACUGAGGUACGAAAGCGUGGGUAGCAAACAGGAUUAGAUACCCUGGUAGUCCACGCCCUAAACGAUGGGUACUAGACGUCGGGAAGCUUGUCUUCUUGGUGUCGCAGCUAACGCAAUAAGUACCCCGCCUGGGGAGUACGGUCGCAAGAUUA
rnacentral:rRNA from 1 species